rnacentral:rRNA from 1 species
GAUGAACGCUGGCGGCGUGCCUAAUACAUGCAAGUCGAGCGAAUGGAUUAAGAGCUUGCUCUUAUGAAGUUAGCGGCGGACGGGUGAGUAACACGUGGGUAACCUGCCCAUAAGACUAGGAUAACUCCGGGAAACCGGGGCUAAUACCGGAUAAUAUUUUGAACUGCAUGGUUCAAAAUUGAAAGGCGGCUUCGGCUGGCACUUAUGGAUGGACCCGCGUCGCAUUAGCUAGUUGGUGAGGUAACGGCUCACCAAGGCAACGAUGCGUAGCCGACCUGAGAGGGUGAUCGGCCACACUGGGACUGAGACACGGCCCAGACUCCUACGGGAGGCAGCAGUAGGGAAUCUUCCGCAAUGGACGAAAGUCUGACGGAGCAACGCCGCGUGAGUGAUGAAGGCUUUCGGGUCGUAAAACUCUGUUGUUAGGGAAGAACAAGUGCUAGUUGAAUAAGCUGGCACCUUGACGGUACCUAACCAGAAAGCCACGGCUAACUACGUGCCAGCAGCCGCUGUAA